CAACUUUUGACAUGUCCCGUAUGGGUUUCAGAGAUGAGAUCCUUCAGUUCGGCUGGCGGGAACACAGGUGCUGCAUGGCUGUCGUCAGCUCGUGUCGUGAGAUGUUGGGUUAAGUCCCGCAACGAGCGCAACCCUCGCCCUUAGUUGCCAUCAUUUAGUUGGGCACUCUAAGGGGACUGCCGGUGAUAAGCCGGAGGAAGGUGGGGAUGACGUCAAGUCCUCAUGGCCCUUACAGGUUGGGCUACACACGUGCUACAAUGGCGGUGACAGAGGGACGCAAAAGGGCAACCUUUCGCAAAUCUCAAAAAGCCGUCUCAGUUCGGAUUGGGGUCUGCAACUCGACCCCAUGAAGUUGGAAUCGCUAGUAAUCGCAGAUCAGCACGCUGCGGUGAAUACGUUCCC
rnacentral:rRNA from 1 species